AGCGUAGAUGGAUGUUUAAGUCAGUUGUGAAAGUUUGCGGCUCAACCGUAAAAUUGCAGUUGAUACUGGAUAUCUUGAGUGCAGUUGAGGCAGGCGGAAUUCGUGGUGUAGCGGUGAAAUGCUUAGAUAUCACGAAGAACUCCGAUUGCGAAGGCAGCCUGCUAAGCUGCAACUGACAUUGAGGCUCGAAAGUGUGGGUAAUCAAACA
rnacentral:rRNA from 1 species